GACGAACGCUGGCGGCGCGCCUAACACAUGCAAGUCGAACGAGCGAGAGAGAGCUUGCUUUCUCGAGCGAGUGGCGAACGGGUGAGUAACGCGUGAGGAACCUGCCUCAAAGAGGGGGACAACAGUUGGAAACGACUGCUAAUACCGCAUAAGCCCACGACCCGGCAUCGGGUCGAGGGAAAAGGAGCAAUCCGCUUUGAGAUGGCCUCGCGUCCGAUUGGCUAGUUGGUGAGGUAAUGGCCCACCAAGGCGACGAUCGGUAGCCGGACUGAGAGGUUGAACGGCAACAUUGGGACUGAGACACGGCCCAGACUCCUACGGGAGGCAGCAGUGGGGAAUAUUGCACAAUGGGGGAAACCCUGAUGCAGCGACGCCGCGUGGAGGAAGAAGGUCUUCGGAUUGUAAACUCCUGUUGUUGAGGAAGAUAAUGACGGUACUCAACAAGGAAGUGACGGCUAACUACGUGCCAGCCGCCGCCGUAAAAC
rnacentral:rRNA from 1 species